ensembl:lncRNA CDKN2B-AS1 CDKN2B antisense RNA 1
AGCUACAUCCGUCACCUGACACGGCCCUACCAGGAACAGCCGCGCUCCCGCGGAUUCUGGUGCUGCUCGCGUCCCCGCUCCCCUAUUCCCCUUAUUUUAUUCCUGGCUCCCCUCGUCGAAAGUCUUCCAUUCUUCAAACUAGAUUAUUUAAAAAUGAAAAAGGAAGAAAGGAAAGCGAGGUCAUCUCAUUGCUCUAUCCGCCAAUCAGGAGGCUGAAUGUCAGUUUUGAACUAAAAGCCGCUCCGCUCCUCUUCUAGAUUUGGAAAACAAGCGAAAUUAAACUAAACCGCUGCACGCCUCUGACGCGACAUCUGGACACGGCGCGGCGCUGGCGCUGCCGGAGCUGUCGACCCGGCCUGGCGCCGGACUAGUGUCCCUUUUGAUGAGAAGAAUAAGCCUCAUUCUGAUUCAACAGCAGAGAUCAAAGAAAAGACUUCUGUUUUCUGGCCACCAGAUAUAUGUUAUCUGUGCUUAAAGAAUUGAAAAACACACAUCAAAGGAGAAUUUUCUUGGAAAGAGAGGGUUCAAGCAUCACUGUUAGGUGUGCUGGAAUCCUUUCCCGAGUCAGUACUGCUUUCUAGAAGAAAACCGGGGAGAUCUAUUUGGAAUGUAUCUAACUCCAAAGAAACCAUCAGAGGUAACAGGAUGAUUACGGAGCUAGGAAUUUCCUACGAAGCUGGGUGAUAAAAGGACAUUGGACAAAAACACAGAUAGCUUCAUUCUAUACCAGGAUCCAUCACUGAUUAGCUGUAUUAUAUUUGUCUCUACUGUAAUUUGAGGAGAAUGAUACCUGCUUCUCUAUCUUGUUGGGUUUUACAGAUGAUGUAUUGAAAGUUCAAUAAAAUCUAUAAACAAU